AGAGUUUGAUCAUGGCUCAGGAUGAACGCUAGCGGCAGGCUUAAUACAUGCAAGUCGUGGGGCAGCAUGGGUAGCAAUACCUGAUGGCGACCGGCAAACGGGUGCGGAACACGUACGCAACCUUCCUUUAAGCGGGGAAUAGCCCAGGGAAACUUGGAUUAAUACCCCAUAAGACAGUGGUGUGGCAUCACACAGCUGUU
rnacentral:rRNA from 1 species